CUCGAGCAACACAUCCAUCCUCCGGUGGCUCCUCAUUAGAGGGGUCGUCGGAGGGCGGCGUGUAGCUCGUCUCGCGUUGGGACGACGCAUGAGUGGCUUCUAGGACAGGGUCCCAGAGCAGGCUCCAUGCUUCUCGCAUCGAACUGCCCUGGUCCUUCCGUUUCAUUGGUCGUUUUGCCUCGGCCCUUUCAGGGUCGGCUGCGUCUGCGCGUUGGGUUCUUGUGCUCGAUAUCCGAAUACGGUAACGGGACGGAUUCUCUUCCCCCUCUUGGUUCCCUCGAUCCACCCCUCCCUUGGAGUUGGUGGAUGUCGUGCGGGCAUCGACGUUGUCCAUCGGGAGAGUCGAUCCCCUUCGGGCGCUUCGUCUCGUGAUGGCGCGUAGGUGCUGCCGGCAUGCUCUCGGGUACGGUGCUGUCGCUGGUUCUCGCAUCGGUCCUCGUUGGCCGUUGUGAUCUCGACGUGUCGAAGCGUCAAUGCUUCCGCUCGCGUGACUCUCUUGCUUGUCCAAGGGCUCGCGGAGCUUCUCGGUUUCGUGAUCUUCUUGGGGAGGCAUCGAGGUCCACACGAGGAAUGCUACCUGGUUGAUCCU
rnacentral:misc_RNA from 1 species